UACGAAGGGGGCUAGCGUUGCUCGGAAUCACUGGGCGUAAAGCGCACGUAGGCGGAUUGUUAAGUCAGGGGUGAAAUCCUGGAGCUCAACUCCAGAACUGCCUUUGAUACUGAGGAUCUUGAGUUCGGGAGAGGUGAGUGGAACUGCGAGUGUAGAGGUGAAAUUCGUAGAUAUUCGCAAGAACACCAGUGGCGAAGGCGGACGCCUGGCUCGCAACUGACGCUCAGACACGACAGCAUGGGGAGCGAACGGG
rnacentral:rRNA from 1 species